UACGUAGGGGGCAAGCGUUGUCCGGAAUCAUUGGGCGUAAAGAGCGCGUAGGCGGUCCGGUAAGUCCGCUCUGAAAGUCCGGGGCUCAACCCCGGGAGGCGGGCGGAUACUGUCGGGCUAGAGUCCGGAAGAGGCGAGUGGAAUUCCUGGUGUAGCGGUGAAAUGCGCAGAUAUCGGGAGGAACACCAAUGGCGAAGGCAGCUUGCUGGGACGGUACUGACGCUGAGGCGCGAAAGCGUGGGGAGCAAACAGA
rnacentral:rRNA from 1 species